rnacentral:misc_RNA from 1 species
GAUGAAGAACGCAGUGAAAUGCGAUAAGUAGUGUGAAUUGCAGAAUUCAGUGAAUCAUCGAAUCUUUGAACGCACCUUGCGCCUUUUGGUAUUCCGAAAGGCACACCUGUUUGAGCGUCAUGAAUACCUCAAUCUCCAUCUUUUCUUCGGAUUGAUGGGUGACUUGGAUGUUGAGCCCUGCUGGUAUGCUAUAUCAGCUGGCUUUAAACUUAUUAGCCGGCUCUGUACUGGAUCGGUUUGACUCGACGUGAUAAUAUUAUCGUUGAGGAUGCAUGUCUCAUGCAGCCGGAAAGUAUCAAAGCAGCUUCUAGCUUGCCUUUAGUGCACUUUUACAUUUUAGACCUCAGAUCAGGUGGGACUACCCGCUGAACUUAAGCAUAUCAAUAAGCGGAGGA